UACAAAGAAGGUAGUUCUGCCUCAGUAACUAUGAUGCCAUGGUUAUUUCAAUAGGAGUAUUUGUUCAUUUUUGAUAGCACUCAUUGUCCACUCUCGAGGUCAAAACCUGAAAUGAUUGACGCUUUCUUUUCUUUUAUUUAAUUCAUUUUUACCUGUUGGUGUGGCUUGAAAGGGCAACAGAUUUUCUUAAGAUGGAGGGGCUCAAGUCCGCUCAUGGGCUACCGAAUUUAAUCGAGGAAUUUUAUGAUGUUUCCAUGGUGGGUUCUGUGAUGAGAAUUCUCAUAUCACAAUAUUUGUUAUCAUCAAUUAAGACUAAUAAAUGUUUGUUCCUUUUUUCUCUUUUAGAGUAUUUGUCGGAUCAGUAUGGAAGGAAGAAGCCAUAUCCAAGAUGUUUUUGUGCUGCGAUUUGGAACGCUGGUGAUUGACACCGAUGUUUCAUUUCGCCUACGACUGGAGGCAAUCAGAACAAUUAACUCAAUCCUUGACGGAGCA